UCGAGAAUCUUCGGCAAUGGACGAAAGUCUGACCGAGCGACGCCGCGUGCGGGAUGAAGGCCUUCGGGUUGUAAACCGCUGUCGUAGGGGAUCAAGAAAUGAGGGUACUCCCUCAAAUUUGAGUGAUCCUAGGAGGAAGGAGAGGCUAAGCUCGUGCCAGCAGCCGCGGUAAGACGAGCUCUCCAAACGUUAUUCGGUAUCACUGGGCUUAAAGAGUUCGUAGGCGGCUCCGUAGGUGAGGUGUGAAAGCCCUCGGCUCAACCGAGGAAUUGCGCUUCAAACCGUGGGGCUAGAGGGAGACAGGGGUGAGCGGAACAGAUGGUGGAGCGGUGAAAUGCGUUGAUAUCAUCUGGAACACCGGUGGCGAAAGCGGCUCACUGGGUCUUUUCUGACGCUGAGG
rnacentral:rRNA from 1 species